UACGGGGGGGGCAAGCGUUGUUCGGAAUUACUGGGCGUAAAGGGCUCGUAGGUGGCCAACUAAGUCAGACGUGAAAUCCCUCGGCUUAACCGGGGAACUGCGUCUGAUACUGGAUGGCUUGAGUUUGGGAGAGGAAUGCGGAAUUCCAGGUGUAGCGGUGAAAUGUGUAGAUAUCUGGAGGAACACCGGUGGCGAAGGCGGCAAGUUCUGGACCAAUACGUGACGCUGAGGAGCGAAAGCCAGGG
rnacentral:rRNA from 1 species